rnacentral:snRNA from 1 species
GUGCUCGCUUUGGCAGCACAUAUACUAAAAUUGGAAUGAUACAGAGAAGAUUGGCGUGGCCCCUGUGCAAGGAUGACAUGAAAAUUCAUGAAGUGUUCCAUAUAAAA